rnacentral:rRNA from 1 species
GACUAACGCUGGCGGCGUGCCUAACACAUGCAAGUCGAACGAGUAGCAAUACUAGUGGCAGACGGGUGAGUAACGCGUAGGUAAUGUGCCUUCUUGCUGGGGAUACCCGUCCCGAAAGGGACGUUAAUACCGAAUGUGACGGUGUCGGGGCAUCCCGAUAUCGUUAAACUUUCAGGGCGAGAAGAGCAGCCUGCGUUCUAUCAGCUUGUUGGGUGGGGUAAAGGCCUACCAAGGCUACGACGGAUAGCCGGUCUGAGAGGAUGAU